rnacentral:rRNA from 1 species
CCUACGGGUGGCUGCAGCAAGGAAUUUUCCGCAAUGGGCGAAAGCCUGACGGAGCAACGCCGCGUGGGGGAGGACGCUUUUCGGAGUGUAAACCUCUUUUCUUGGGGACGACGACCGACGGUACCCGAGGAAGAAGGACCGGCUAACUACGUGCCAGCAGCCGCGGUAAUACGUAGGGUCCGAGCGUUGUCCGGAGUUACUGGGCGUAAAGCGCGCGCAGGCGGCUUCAUAAGUCUGGCGUGAAAGCCCCCGGCUCAACCGGGGGAGGGUCGUCGGAGACUGUGGAGCUUGAGGGCGGUAGGGGCUGGUGGAAUUCCCGGUGUAGUGGUGAAAUGCGUAGAGAUCGGGAGGAACACCCGUGGCGAAGGCGGCCAGCUGGGCCGACCCUGACGCUGAGGCGCGAAGGCGUGGGGAGCGAACGGGAUUAGAUACCCCGGUAGUCCACGCAGUAAACGAUGCAGACUAGGCGUGGGGGGACUUGACCCCCUCCGUGCCGGAGCCAACGCGGUAAGUCUGCCGCCUGGGGAGUACGGCCGCAAGGCUA